AGGGUUUGGUCCUGGCUCAGAGCGAACGCUGGCGGCGUGGUUUAGGCAUGCAAGUCGAGCGCGAAAGCGAGCUUCGGUUCGCGAGUAGAGCGGCGUAAGGGUGAGUAAUGCAUAGGUAACCUACCCCUGACUUCGGUAUAGCGUCUGGAAACGGACGGUAAUCCCGAAUGGUCCCGUAGGAGGGCAUCCUCUCUCGGGUAAAGUGGAUUUCGGCCUAUCGGUCGGGGAGGGGCCUAUGUCCCAUCAGCUUGUUGGUGAGGUAGCGGCUCACCAAGGCAAUUACGGGUAGCCGGACUGAGAGGUUGGCCGGUCACACUGGGACUGAGACACUGCCCAGACUCCUACGGGAGGCUGCAGUCGAGGAUCUUCCGCAAUGGGCGAAAGCCUGACGGAGCAACGCCGCGUGGAGGAUGAAGGCCUUCGGGUUGUAAACUCCUGUCACGGGUUAUGAAUGGCGUCGAGUGAAUAUCUCGGCGUUUGACAAAGGCCCGAGAGGAAGCCACGGCUAACUCCGUGCCAGCAGCCGCGGUAAUACGGAGGUGGCAAGCGUUGCUCGGAAUUACUGGGCAUAAAGGGCGUCUAGGCGGAUCGGUCAGUCGGCUGUGAAAUCCCUCGGCUCAACCGAGGAAGUGCAGCCGAUACUGCCGGUCUUGAGGGCGAGAGGGGAGAGUGGAACUCCUGGUGGAGCGGUGAAAUGCGUAGAUAUCAGGAGGAACGCCGGUGGCGAAAGCGGCUCUCUGGCUCGUCCCUGACGCUGAAGCGCGAAAGCUAGGGGAGCGAACGGGAUUAGAUACCCCAGUAGUCCUGGCCCUCAACGUUGCUCGCUCGCUUUACGGAGUAUCGACCCUCUGUGAGGCUAAGCUAACGCGGUAAGCGAGCCGCCUGGGUAGUACGAUCGCAAGAUUAAAACUCAAAGGAAUAGACGGGGACUCGCACAAGUGGUGGAUUAUGCGGCUUAAUUCGUCGAUAAACGAAGAACCUUACCAAGGUUAGAAAUCCAGCUGCAUUCCUAUCGAAAGACUGGAAGCCUUCGAGGGUGCUGGACAGGUGAUGCAUGGUCGUCGUCAGUUCGUGGUUUGAACUGUUCCCUUCAGUGGGGUAACGAACGCAACCCCCGUUGCCUGUUGCCUAUAUGGUCAGGCGAGACUGCUCCCUCACGGGAGAGGAAGGUGGGGAUGACGCCAGAUCAGCAUGUCCCUCUGAUACCUUGGGCUGCACGCAUAAUACAAUGGGUGGUACAACAGGUUGCAAUACCGCAAGGUGGAGCCAAUCCUUAUAAAACCACCCCCAGUACGGAUAGAGGUCUGCAACCGACCUCUUGAAGCCGGAAUCACUAGUAAUCCCAGGUCAGCUAAACUGGGGUGAAUACGUUCUCGAGUCUUGUACUCACCGCCCGUCAAGUCAAGGGAGUUGGGGGUACCCGAAGGUCUGCCUUGCGCAGGACUACGGUGAAUUCAAUGACAAGGACUAAGUCGU
rnacentral:rRNA from 1 species